GGGCCAGACAUGCCAAUGAAGCUAAAACUAGGGACUUGAACAUAACACCAUGUGGCAUGCACCCCUUGUCAUUGCGGAAGAAGAGAGCUUGGUACACCGGCAAGUUAACCAUAAUCACGAAUCCGCAGAGAAUAACCUGAGGCAUCAACAUUUCUAGAGUCUUGAAAUCCAUCUCUAAAUCAGUAACCCUCUUCGCCAUCGCCCCAACAAAACUGAAAAGGUUUAGCAUUGCUAGUGUUGCUAUAAUGGUGAACAUUG
rnacentral:misc_RNA from 1 species